CGUCCACCCGAGCCCUGAUCGCAGCGGGUCUUCCCCUCGGCGCUGCGGCGUUUUCCUCGCGAACAGCGGCUAUAGGCGAACGGCGGCGGGGUCUCCCUCCGGAGAUCAUUUCCUCGAAUCUUCGACGUGAAACAUAAUCUGUGUUGGGGUGAGGGAUUCGUGGUCGUCAGCAGAGGGAGGGCACAUUCCAGUAGUGCAAUCAUGGAUGUUGAUUCACAGCCAAACAUAGAAGAAACAAUUCUAGUAGGUGAUGACCUUAUGCUGGGGCUCCCUUCACCUAUUAUUCCACCGGAGAUUGCAUCUCAUGUUCUUGAAGGUGUUGAUUUAUGUGAUGGAGUGCUAAGGAAUCUUUUUUUAUGCUUGCAAAUCAAUGAUAUUGAACCAUUUUGCCAAGAUGAGAUUGUUUUGUAUCGAGAGUGUGCUGAGAAAAGGGAUAAAGAGCUAAGACAGAGACUUUCAGAUAGUGAACAUAAAUUGGGGCUGUCCAUGCCCAUUGAAGAAGCAAAGGAAAGAGCUGCUCAACUUCAAUCAGAAGUUACAUCUCUAGAAAGGCACAUGAUUCUUGCAAGUGGAAUUCAAGGCAUGGAAGGAUUUCGUCAGCGCUGGAGCUUGCAUGGACGUCUUGAGGAUACCAAAAGAAGAAUGGAAGCUUUAAACCAGGGAAUAGAAAAGAGGAAACCUGACAAGAUCCACGGAGAGCCAGUUAGAAAAAAAUGGUUUUUUUGGUAGAUUUUUUUGCUCUCUUGAGAUUUCUGAUUCUCAAGAAGAAGGUGUAGAAACAGGACUUCCUGAUAGACUCUGAAGGCCCACUUCACCUUCCACCGAAGAACCGAGUCAACUCUAAGCAAAUCUUCACUGCUGGAAAGGGUGCCUCCACCGCCAACCCUAACCAAACAUCAUAACAAUGGCUCCUAAUUCCUACAAAUAAUGCAAUAGGUGGAGGCGACGCCGGUGAAGAGGCUGUGUAGGACCCACAACAUCAUCACAGUCAACGGCCAGUUAGUAACCCGGCACGACGCGGGCGACGCUCGUGGUCUACGGUUGACGUCAACGGGGCUAAGUACCACGUCACGCUUCACGUGCCGGUUCACGAUCGAGGAGCAGGAAGGCACGGUGUGGUGGUGGCACGCACACAGCUCCUGGCUCUCUUCCUUCUCUCAACUCUUGCAAUGGAGACAUCUCAAGCAACCAGUGAUGAGCCCGUUCCUUCUUCCCAACUUGUCAACAAGCGAAGCCUGCUGAGCUCUCUUAUGGAAGCCACAGCCACGGCUGCCUCCACCAUCCCCGACCGACCCCCUUCGAUCAAGGAGGACACCUACCCCGUAUCCACCAAGUCCUCCGAGCAUAAGGCACUUUGGGAACCCACGCCCAUCUCCAUGAUGAGGCGGACGCUGUCCUCCUCAGGUUCCUGCCCCACGACUUCGACGUGGGGCAGGCGCAGGACAUGCUGGUGCGGUGCGCGGAGUGGCAACGAGAGUUUGACGUCGAUAGGGCGGCCGGGGAGGAGCUGGUGGAGUUCAAGAAGCUGGAGGGCAUGGUGGCGUAGCUGGGACCGGCAGCCACCCAUAUGCUACAAGCAUCUUUAGGGGUAAGAUCGUGUAAGAGCACGAGCAACGCCGAGAAGCUACAAUGCUUUCUGAUAGAAGCUCGUGAUAUAAAGAAAUAUGGGAUGAUAAAUUUAUAUUUAUUACAUAUUCUAAU